GGCUCCUUGAUAUCCACAAAUAAGGAGUCGGACCUGCCCAGUGAAUUUUUUUAACGGCCGCGGUACUCUGACCGUGCAAAGGUAGCAUAAUCAUUUGCCUUAUAAUUGAAGGCUUGUAUGAAUGGUUUGACAAGAAUGUAACUGUCUCUUUGCAACUGAUUAGAAUUUUAUUUAUGGGUGAAGAAGCCCAUAUCCCAAUGAUAGACAAGAAGACCCUAUCGAGCUUAAAAAAAGUUAGUAAGUCUUAUACUUAAUAUUAUAUAGAAAAUUAUUUACUAAAAAUUUUGGUUGGGGCGACAGAGGAACAAAUAAAACUUCCUUUAAUACAAAUAAUAACAAACAAGUAAUGAUCCAAAAAUUUUGAUUAAAGAAAUUAGUUACCGUAGGGAUAACAGCAUUAUCUUUUUUAAGAGCUCUAAUCGAAAAAAAGGUUUGUGACCUCGAUGUUGGACCAGAAUAUCCUAAAGAUGCAGCCGUCUUUAAAGGUUGGUCUGUUCGACCAUUAAAAUUCUACGUGAUCUGAGUUCAGACCGGCGUGAGCCAGGUCAGUUUCUAUCUUCAUUUUAUAAUAUAAACUUAGUACGAAAGGACCAGCUUAUAGUAAAAAAUUAUUUUUAGUGACGACGUAUAAAGAAAAUUUAAGUGAAUAAAGUUAUUAAAUCAAAAUACAGAUAUCAAAUUAGCAAAGAUAAUGCAAUUGACUUAGGAUCAAUAGACAUAGGUGAAACUCCUUUAUUUGAUACUGUAUUCAUUGGUGCAAAUAAAGAUGGCAGAUGAA
rnacentral:rRNA from 1 species